rnacentral:rRNA from 1 species
UACGUAGGGGGCAAGCGUUGUCCGGAAUCAUUGGGCGUAAAGAGCGUGUAGGCGGUCCGGUAAGUCGGCUGUGAAAGUCCAAGGCUCAACCUUGGGAUGCCGGUCGAUACUGCCGGACUAGAGUUCGGAAGGGGCGAGUGGAAUUCCCGGUGUAGCGGUGAAAUGCGCAGAUAUCAGGAGGAACACCAAUUGCGAAGGCAGCUCGCUGGGACGUAACUGACGCUGAGACGCGAAAGCGUGGGGAGCAAACAGG